rnacentral:lncRNA from 1 species
AUGGCAAAGAUGAACAAAGCCACCAGAAUCGCCUUGGUCACUGGAGAGAUAAGGGACUGCAUGUCACCCGGGACCGCCGCAGCCGGAGGAGAAGGCAAGGAUCCAGGACAACUCCAGGGGACUCAUGAGAAACAAGGAUAUCCACCACUAGAGAAGGAGCAGAGAGACUCCCAAUGCAGAGUGGAACAUAUCAUUCUUCACUUGAUUUGCUACAUGAAUUUUUCUUUAAUAGUCAUCAAUGUCCAGUGGCAAGACAAAGGUCAAGACAACUGGUAAUGAUUCAGGAUGAAGUGGACAUCCUUGGCUUCUUCAAUGUCUAAUGAAGAUCUAAGCACUCAAAGCACCUACUUCUGCUACCUUCCUGGACUUUGAAACAAAAUGUUCUCAUCUAUCUCAUCCACUGGGGGAAGUCUUCACAUGCUUGGAUAGAUAUCCCCUACCCAAUUCAUUGAUGGGUUUGAGUCCUGUCAGUUAACUUCAACCUGGUUAGCCCGUCUGCUGAGAUAGUUUAUGCAGUGUGGCCAUUGCUCAUGCUACUGCUUCUUGGAGACACAGGUGACAGCUGGAUGGCAGGUAGACAGCAAAGAAGGAAAGUAGCCCUGAAAUGGACUUGGCAAAUCCUCCACUGGAGUUAUUAGUCUUCUUCUAACACUAAGUGAAAUAAACUGAUAUAUGCUUUGGUAGAAUGGAGAAGG